rnacentral:rRNA from 1 species
AACGAACGCUGGCGGCAUGCCUAACACAUGCAAGUCGAACGAGACCUUCGGGUCUAGUGGCGCACGGGUGCGUAACGCGUGGGAAUCUGCCCUUGGGUUCGGAAUAACAGUUAGAAAUGACUGCUAAUACCGGAUAAUGUCUUCGGACCAAAGAUUUAUCGCCCAGGGAUGAGCCCGCGUAGGAUUAGCUAGUUGGUGAGGUAAAGGCUCACCAAGGCGACGAUCCUUAGCUGGUCUGAGAGGAUGAUCAGCCACACUGGGACUGAGACACGGCCCAGACUCCUACGGGAGGCAGCAGUGGGGAAUAUUGGACAAUGGGCGAAAGCCUGAUCCAGCAAUGCCGCGUGAGUGAUGAAGGCCUUAGGGUUGUAAAGCUCUUUUACCCGGGAUGAUAAUGACAGUACCGGGAGAAUAAGCCCCGGCUAACUCCGUGC